UCCCUUAUAGUCCAGAAUUUUUCUACGGUACUCCAAACCUCUUUUUCAUCCUUUUUAUUACUUUUUUUUUGGAUAAUCUAAAUCGAGAUGGAUGGUACUUUAUCGUCGACAACGAAUUUUAACCAGUCAUGUGCAUGGCUGAUGUGAUAAAUAAUUAAAAUUGCCUUCCAAUAGAAUCUUUUAGUAAUUUCUUCAAUGAUGGUGCUCUUUGACCAUGGCGCUCCUUUACAUCUUACCCAAAUGAUACCAAUAUGAACACAAUGUAUGUUUUCCAUUUCCUUUAGAUACAAUGAAAUAAUAUGGUACUUUCUUUUACUUACAUGCUAUUGGAGUGGUCCCUCCUUACGUGGGACUACAAUUUUUA
rnacentral:lncRNA from 1 species